rnacentral:lncRNA from 1 species
GUGAGAUCCAAAAUCUCAGUGAAAGAAAACUAGCCAAGUAAAAGUGAAUGUUCUACUCAAUGUUAUGCUUGGAUAUUUCUCAUAACAAAGAAAUAAUCUGUUAAGGAUUAUUUUCUCCCAACCCCCACUACCAUGGGCAGGGACAUCACCCACUAGACUGGGCUGCUCCAGGUCUUAUCCUACCUGGCCUUAAACACUCCCAGGGAUUUAGCAUCCAUAACCUCCCAAAGCAGUCUGUUCCAGUGCCUCAUCACCCUCACAAUAAAAAAUUUCUUUCUAAUAUUAAGCCCUAAUUUCCUCUUUUUCAGUUUGAACCCAUUACCCCGUGUCCUGUCACUAAACUUCCUGAUGAAGAGUCCCUCUCCAGUUUCUCUUCAGGUCCCCUUGAGAUACUGCAAGCUGGCUAUGAGUUUUCUACACGAUAUCUGCAAUAUAAGAAUGCAAUACAUUCAAGUGUUCCCUUUAAAUGAUACGCCUUGGGAUGCAUGGAGCUGAAAGUAAAAUGUUCUCAGAAAAAGGAUGAUUCUCUAGUGUGGGAAGGUGACAGAUAUACAAUAUUCACAUCAAACUCUGCAGUGUUCUCUACAGAGUACCAUGAAGAAAUCAUACACUUUUCAGAAACACGAAGAAUAAAGAAAAUGCCUAACAUCCUUCUGAUUCAAACUAUACACAAUUAACUGCUUAUCCGAGUCUUCCUCAGAACUGUCAAAGUCUUUUAGGAAUGGUAUUCUCCAAUUUAAUAUUCCACUACAAAGAAAAUCACAUACUGCUUCUCUCCCCUGCUCCUGUGGGAGACAAAUGGCAGAGACUAUGGGUUGAGAUAAGAACAAUUUACUGGAAACAGCAAUGAAGAUAAGAAAAUGAAAAAUAACAGCAACAAUAUUUGUACUAAAAUAUUCAAAAAGAAGGUGAUUCACAUGAAAAAAUACUCCCCGUGGACCACAAUCAAUAGUGGACGAUGGAUUCCCUACCCUGCCAUGCUUUUUUCACCCAAAGCCAUGCCCUUCUUCCCAGAAGAGACAGUCUUCCACCCCCCAGCAAUGACAUGAAUGGGUAUAGAAUAAAAACCUAGACAUGCUCA